GGCGGAGGAUGCAAGCGUUAUCCGGAAUGAUUGGGCGUAAAGCGUCCGUAGAUGGUCGUUUCAAGUCUGCUGUCAAAGACCGGGGCUUAACCCCAGAAAGGCGGUGGAAACUGAACAGCUAGAGAGAGGUAGGGGUAGAGGGAAUUCCCAGUGUAGCGGUGAAAUGCGUAGAUAUUGGGAAGAACAUCAGUGGCGAAAGCGCUCUACUGGACCUUAUCUGACAUUGAGGGACGAAAGCUAGGGGAGCGAAUGGG
rnacentral:rRNA from 1 species